GCCCGCGUAGCUCAGUCGGUAGAGCAAUUGCAUGGUAAGCAAUAGGUCAGCAGUUCAAGUCUGCUCGCGGGCU
rnacentral:tRNA from 1 species